CAGAGCCACUGCUGUAUUAAGUUUGUCCUCCUGCUGUUACCGUAGCUCCUUUCCCCUUUGUCACGCCUUCCAGUUAGCUUCUAAGUGGCUAGGUUUCCUUAGCGGCAACACCACUUUCUAUAAAAUAACAGGCUCACCGGUAGGCCGACUAAGAUCCCUGGUUUCUGUAAACACUGCCGAUUCGGCUAUCCUUGGUUCCCUGGGUGUUCGUCUGUGAAAGGUGUCCUACUGUCGCUAGACCCUUCCGAGUAGUUGGUGGGUAGAUCUACUACUGAAGGUAAUAGUACACUAUUUUAAUCAUUGUUGGUUUAACGUCAGGCUACCAUGUUUGUGAGGUUGUACGUAUAUUUAAUAGCCACAUUGUAACGUAGGUCUCGGGUGAAAAGACGUUUUAACGAAGCCCUGCACUGUUUACCAAGGAACCUAGCCAACAAAGGUACAUUUAUUUGUAACUCUCGUUAGGGAGAGAAAUAUUUGUCUGUAAACCCUUUUGCUCUUAUCUAUGUCUGUUUACUACCUCUAUGUGAUUGUUGCCGCUUUAGUAUGAUGUAGCACAUGUGAGCUAAUCAUGUCCUCAGUCUAUGAUGCAAAUGCCUGUCUCGCUGUAUCUGACAUAUGCUUGUGUACAGCAGUGUUCUCAUGCCAGCUUGUGGUGACGAGCGCCAGGGGUCCCCUUGCCAUGUGGUGUUUGCUUUUAGGAUGCACUGAGGUAAAGUAGAAUGAUGCCUAGUGUGAAGGUGUAAAUCCUGUCAAUGGAAAACUGUUAUUUGUUGAUUGUGUAUUGUUUAUGGAUGACUGAUUCUGACUGUUUUGUGUCUCCAGAACCAGUUGCCACUGCUGUUUUGCCUACUGUAAAAUUAAUGUAAAGUAGCUUUCGCCCGUUUUGUUUGUUUUCUUUUUCUGUUUAGUUGGUUUCAUUUGGUAUUAUUUGACUUGGCCGUUACCUUUUAGCUUCCUGUUACCUCUCUCCUUCACGGCAUUAGGGCAUGUGUGGUACUGGCUGCCCCAGUAGUUUGCUACCAGUAAAAUCCUUCCUAUUCAGCUUGCUCUACUGUUUUCCCAGUCACUGAGUGCUAACCAUCCCCUCCCCCUUCUCUCUUCUCCAGAGUAAUAGUGAAGCUGCUCACGGGGCAGGUCGCCGGAUCUGAGUCCUCCUCUUCGCGCACUGCUCACAGUAUUUUGUAGUGGUAACGUGCACCUCACCAUUUGCUGUGAUCACAUUGUUGCAGUAGUUGUGCCUAUGCGUGUGUGUGUAUGUGUGUCUGUGUGAAUAGGCACCAGAGUCAAGAGCACGAGUGUUGUGUCGGCCUCACACUUCUCCCAGGACAGGUAACCGCUCCCCAUCAGCUGACUAGCUAUCUCUCCCCUACUACUGUCCCAAAGAGUAAUAUCCCUGGUGGCAGCCAUUACCACUUCCCCUUGCCGUUCACCAUAGUGGGUCUGCGCUCUAGUGCUUAACCGCAUAAAUGGCCUUUUAAGUGAAUUCCAUAUUAAUAAAUCUUGUUUAUUUUUGUACUGGAA